GUCAGAGGUCUUCACGGCAGCCCCUUUCAUCACAGGUUUGGAGGCCUAGAAGGAAAAAGUGGUUUCAUGGGCCAGGUCCACUGUCCCUGUGCUGUGUGCAUCCUAGGGACUUGGUUCCCUGUGUCCCAGCUGUUCCAGCUGUGCCUGAAAGGAGCCAUUGUAAAGCUCGGGCCAUGGCUUUAGAGGGUGCAAGCCCCAAGUCUUGGCAGCUUCCAUGUGGUGUUGAGCUUGCAGUGCACAGAAGUCAAGAAUUAGGGUAUGGGAACCUCCACCUAGAUGUCAGAAGAUGUAUGGAAACGCCUGGAUGCCCAGGUAGAAGUUUGCUUCAGGGGCAGGGCCCUCAUGGAGAACCUCUGCUAAGGCAGUGCAGAAGGGAAAUGUGGGGUUGGAUUCCCCACUCAGAGUACCUACUGGAGUACCACCUAGUGGAGCUGUGAGAAGAGGGCCAUUGUCCCAGACCCCAGAAUGGUAGAUCCUCCAACAGCCUGCAGCAUGAGACUGGAAAAGCUGCAGACACUCAACACCAGUUUGUGAAGGCAGCCGCAAGGGAGGCUGUACCCUGAAAAGCCACAAGGUGGGAGUCGCCCAAGAUCAUGGGAACCCACUUCUUCCAUCAGCGUGAGCUGGAUGUGAGACAUGGAGUCAAAGAAGAUUGUUUUGGAGUUUUAAGGUUUGACUGCCCUGCUGGAUUUCAGACUUGCAUUGGGGCCUGUAGCCCCUUUAUGUUGGCCAAUUUCUCCCACUUGGAAUGGCUGUAUUUACCUAAUGCCUGUACCCCCAUUGUAUCUAGGAAGUAACUAACUUGCUUUUGAUUUUACCAGCUCGUAGGUGGAAGGGACUUGCCUUGUCUCAGAAGAGACUUUGGACUGUGAACUUCUGAGUUAAUGCUGAAAUGAGUUGAGACUUUGGGGGACUGUGAGAAGGCAUGACUGGUUUUGAAAUGUGAACAUAUGAUAUUUGGGAGGGGCCAGGGAUGGAACGAUAUGGCUUGGUUCUGUGUCCCCACCGAAAUCUCAUCUCGUAGCUCCCAUAAUUCCCACGUGUUGUGGGAGGGACCCAGUGGGAGAUGAUUGAAUCAUGGGGGUGGGUCUUUCCAGUGCUGUCCUCCUGAUAGUGAAUGGGUCUGAUGAGAUCUGAUGGUUUUAAAAAUGGAAACUUCUCUGCACAAGCUUUCUUUUUUUCCUGCCGCCAUCCAUCCACAUAAGAUGUGAUUUGCUCCUCCUUGUCUUCUGCCAUGAUUGUGAGGCCUCCCCAGCCAUGUGGAACUAGCCUACUCUGGGCCAGCCAUCUUAGAUGCCAUCUCUGUGGUCCCAUCUUCACUGGAAAAUUUUAGAAGUGCAGACCAGGCACAUUGGAAGUAAGUUAUUUGGGUUGUUCCUUUGACUGUGCUUGCUGCCGGUCACUGACCAUCUGAGCCAGUGCCCUGGCGUUGAACCAGCCUUAGUCUCUCCCAAAGGUUUCUAUCCACUGGCCACCUCCCCACAUUUCUCUGCUCCCCUAAAAUGAAUGAGAAGGACUUACUAAAGGUACUCAGCAAGGCCUUGCCAAAGUUACAGGUGUCCCCUUCCUUUUCUCACUAAUGCUACCCUAGCUCUCCAGCUUCCCUUUUGGGCAUGUAUGGAGGGUUCAUGUUUCAGUUUCUUCUGAGCAUUUAGCUCUGUGCUAGUGCUUGUGGGAGGAUUCCUG
rnacentral:lncRNA from 1 species